UGCGUACAUGAUGAGCAUUAAGGGACUUAAUACUGAUGUAUUUGAUGUUACCUUUAUUCAGCUGAUGUGU